rnacentral:rRNA from 1 species
AGAGUUUGAUCCUGGCUCAGGAUGAACGCUAGCUACAGGCUUAACACAUGCAAGUCGAGGGGCAGCAUGGUCUUAGCUUGCUAAGGCCGAUGGCGACCGGCGCACGGGUGAGUAACGCGUAUCCAACCUGCCGUCCAGUAGGGGACAGCCCGUAGAAAUGCGGAUUAAUACCCUAUGUUCUCCGAGGAUGACAUCAGAUUCGGAGUAAAGAUUCAUCGCUGGACGAUAGGGAUGCGUCUGAUUAGGCAGCAGGCGGGGCAACGGCCCACCUGGCCGACGAUCAGUAGGGGUUCUGAGAGGAAGGUCCCCCACAUUGGAACUGAGACACGGUCCAAACUCCUACGGGAGGCAGCAGUGAGGAAUAUUGGUCAAUGGGCGCGAGCCUGAACCAGCCAAGUAGCGUGAGGGAAGACUGCCCUACGGGUUGUAAACCUCUUUUGUUCGGGAAUAAAGUGCGGCACGCGUGCCGUUUUGUAUGUACCGUUCGAAUAAGGACCGGCUAAUUCCGUGCCAGCAGCCGCGGUAAUACGGAAGGUCCAGGUGUUAUCCGGAUUUAUUGGGUUUAAAGGGAGCGCAGGCGGCCCGUUAAGCGUGACGUGAAAUGUAGUUGCUCAACAUCUGCACUGCGUCGCGAACUGGUGGGCUUGAGUUCACGGUAGGAAGGCGGAAUUCGUGGUGUAGCGGUGAAAUGCUUAGAUAUCACGAAGAACCCCGAUUGCGAAGGCAGCUUUCCGCAGUGUUACUGACGCUCAUGCUCGAAAGCGCGGGUAUCGAACAGGAUUAGAUACCCUGGUAGUCCGCGCGGUAAACGA